rnacentral:rRNA from 1 species
UACGUAGGGCGCAAGCGUUGUCCGGAUUUAUUGGGCGUAAAGAGCGUGUAGGCGGCCAGACAAGUCUGCUGUGAAAACUCGAGGCUCAACCUCGAGCUGUCGGUGGAAACUGUCUGGCUAGAGUCCGGAAGAGGAGAGUGGAAUUCCUGGUGUAGCGGUGAAAUGCGCAGAUAUCAGGAAGAACACCUAUGGCGAAGGCAGCUCUCUGGGACGGUACUGACGCUGAGACGCGAAAGCGUGGGGAGCGAACAGG